UGUGUGUGUGUGUGUGUGUGUGUGUACUGGUCACAGGUGCAUCCUCAGUCAUACAAACUAGAGGCUGCACAUUGGCUGCCCUGAACAAUUUCAUGUUCAACCCUUUGAAGCCUCUGAAAGAGACUUUAUAAAAUGUACAGGGGGCAUAGCCCACCUAAUUUACUGACGCACCACACAUAAGCAUGCACACACGCAUGCAUGCCACAUGAAGAGGAGAAGCACCAGAUUAAUGGUGGCGGUCCCCCGGAAUUUCACCCACAGCAAUAAAUGGAUGCAGCUGCUUCAGUCGCUAGAGAUGCUAUCCACAUCUGCUGAUCAUGUAUGCCUAGUUUCUAGUUCCAUAUUAGAAGUGGCACAUGCACUGCACAGUAAUGAGCAGGUCAUUCCCCAUUCGUUUUUUUGGGGGGUGGGGGGGCAGACUUAGACAAGACCUUAGAUGCAGUCUUUUUAUCAGAGCUUAGCAAGUUACAAGAGUAUAAAUCAAAGUAACACUCCGUACAAGCUGAAGGAGAGCAUCUGCUUGUAUGAAGAGUUAAAAUAUCUUGAAAUAGCUUUUCCAGAAAAGAUUCUGACCCCACCCUAUGAGCAGCCUGUUCUUCUUGAGGGCGAUAUGGCGGACACAUUGGACACUUAAUUGGUUUGUCUGCUUCACCUGUCAUCCCUACACAGGGUCAAGGAACUCUCUAGAACUCUUCCCCAUCCGGUUCUGAAAUGUCUUCUGCCUUUUCCAAGGCAGCCUGGUGCACUGUCUGAGGAUCUUCACAGGUAGCCCUGAAACUGCAAAGUCAUCUCCUCUCCUCUGUCCCUCCACCUCCUCCUCAGAAUCUGGGCAGACUGUAAUGUGCACAAGCUGGGCCCUUCCCUAUACACACAAAGGUUACUUGGCUGUUCCACUUCAAACGGUACAUAGGAUAUUUGCCUUAACACUAGUCUCAAAAACUGUUCAAAGGGAAAGGAUACAAGAGAUGAAGAAAUUACACAUUUUAUUGCAUUUAUACCCUGUCUUUUUACUCUCAUUAGGAAUGCAAAGGAGUCUACAGAGCCCUCUUCUCCAUUUGAGCCAAAGUCGCCUAGUGAGUUUCAUGUCCAACUAGGGACUAGAACCUGGAUCUCCCAAGCCCCAAUCCAACACUUUAGUCAUUGCCCACACAAUAUGUUCACAAAAUAAUCAGGAGUCUUAAAAGACACCCUACUAGGAAUCUCGGGCAACAACAGAAAGGAUUUUGCAUGAUAGGGUUAGGGUGAUCUUAGUACAGGAUCAUGCAUAAGAGAAAUACUUCCUUCCUGAUGAAAUAGCUCUCAGUUUUAGGUAAUUAUCCAUCCAAACUAAGCAUCUACUCAACAAGAAAAUAACUAGUCAGCCAAAAACCAUUCCAAUGAGAUAUGUGGCAAUGAUGAUGGCAAGCAGUGUCUUCACCUAAAUUGGAGACUAGAUAUUACUAGUUCUCCUGUACUGGAUUCUAAAUUCCAAGAGAAAAUUCAUAGCACGAGAAACAUUUCAGCCAAUACAGUACAGGCUAAAUAUUUUAUGCUUUACAUCCCUCUUGCAUUAUCUCCACAUUCUCUCUUCUACUUGACAGUGAUUAUUUAAUGACACCCCCAGAAAUUAGUAAAUUAUAGUGGGGUUUUUUAUUUAUGGACAUUGUAUGUUAAAUUACAAAGCAUAGCUUAGUUAAACAAAACAAAAAUAUAAAUUCUGUAAGUACCAGCUGGGAUUAAUGGCUAAGAAGAAUUCCAAGCAAAACAUUUCUUUAUCAUCCUUUCUCAACUUAAUGCCCUCCCACAAAUGUCUGACUACAAUUCCCAGCAUUCCAAGGCCUGCGGAAGAUUGGGGGAAGCUGUACUAAGCAUUAACAUCUUUAACACUGCAGUUUCAUUGUGAAUUAUUUGAUUCCCUGCAGAUUUUAUUUCUACUUCAACUAGGGAAAGACAAUUAAAUCACUACACUGCACUGACAGAAGUAAAAGCCAAGACAUCCUCAGAAACAUACAGCUUAUUACAUGAGAAAAGAGCAAGGAAAAGCAGAAAGCACACUGAAAUUUUCUACUUAUCCAAAAACCAUUUUAAGGUUGCUUUAGAAAUGAUUUCAUGAAGCGCAACUGCAGUGACCACAAAUUCUCAAAAACCAAGUGGCAUUUCAAAUAAAGCAAUGGAUGAAAAUGACUGCAUUGUUUUGGCAUCAGAAAGUCGAGAAUGCAUGUCUGCCCAUUUUACAUUAUGAAUAGUUUCAUGUUCGGAAUGUCUGCAGAGGACUCCCAUGCAUUUUUAAAGCAUUUCCGCACAGCAGGACCAAGUGAAUGAACGAAUGAUCCAAGGCUAUCUUAUGCGGCAACACUACUGAAGCUAAGCAGACGUGGACCAGACCCACAUGCACUAGUUCACUCCACCACUUUGGGAUAAAGCAGCAUGCAAGCGGGCUGUAUUUCCCAAUAUUUUCCUGGAAAAAAGGGUGGGUGGACAGAAAGACAGGGUUAGAUAUAUAACCCACAUAUUUUCUCCCUGCAGUGUAAGUGUAUGGAGAGAAACAGGUUUGCACUGAAGAUUUGUCUCAAGAGAGUUUUCUCAGUGGAAAUUAACAAAUUGAUCGGCUUGAACAUUUCAUUUUCACGGCUUUUCUAAUAUGCUUGUGCCCACUGGUCCAGUUAAUGGUUUUUAUCACACUUGUAUCUCACUCAUUCUCCAAGCACCUCGGAGCCGAUUUCACAGGAAGUUUCUUUUUUAUUCUCAGAGCCAUCUCAUGGGACAAAUAAUGCUGAAGCACAAUGACCACUCCGGUGUCACCUAGUGGGCCUCAUCACUGAGCAGGGAUCUGCUCCCUCUUAAGUACCGCAACUGAAGUCCAAAUGUGACACUGAAAACAAUCUCACCCGAACAUACACACAGUCAAUCCAAAGGCAAAAUACAUGUAUUACAGGGGAAAUUAUUCCAAGAAGACUUUGGCAUUCUGCUCAGAAGGAAGGAGAUGGGUGACUGUCUUGGAACUCUUCUGCAAAAUGAACCUCCCCUGUAAUAAGCUGUUAACUAUGACUCUAACACAUCAUACUAUUUUGGUUUUUCCAAACUUUCCAGAUAAGCCUUACCUCAAGUUUAACUAAAUGAAAGGAGGAUUAAGUUCCAGAGAGAGGAAGCAUGCAGAACAAAGUGCUAAACUUGUAUUUUAUUCAGUUGCAUAAGGCAGCUUUUCUAACCACUUCUAAAGAUAAAAAUCUGUGCUUCAAAUGGAAUUACAAAGAGAUAUUUGAAUACCUCAGUUGAAGGGAAUACUGUUAUAAUUACUGUUCUUUCUUUGUCAUCUCAGCACAACCUUCUGAUAUAUUUCACUUACUUUUUUGACAUAAAUCACCACUAACAGAAAACUGUUGACAAAUCCCCAAAGUAAUGUUCAACUCCCUCAUGGAUGGUAGGGUAGGUUUAAAAAAAGAUAAGGUUUUUUCCUCCUUAAGCAAUCCAUUUUAAAAAUGCAGCAUGUGAGAUGGUUCUAGAAAGGCAGCUGCUACUCUUAGAUUUAAAAAAAAGGGAUAAAGAAAGUUGUCAUCACGGAUGCUGUCAUACCCAGCUUAUGUUGACGUAGGUAAGAGCUAAGCAAGGUUAAGAGAGAAGGGGGUAAAGGCAGUCCAUAGUCAGCAAGAAGCAGAGUCUCCAAAAUUGCUCAGACCAGCAAGCAAGCAUAACAUAGAAGUCUUGACAGGAAUCUGAGAACCGGCAUACUUCUUUUAGCCAAAUAGUGGGAAGAAGCUUCCUAACACCAUAUGGCUAUUCUCCCUGCUCUUCAUUUUGGCCAAAGCUAGACUGAGGUACAGACUUAUUAUCCCCUCAAGAUUACCAGUUCAAGAUCCAUAUUUUGUAGUAUGUUUUUAUUUAAAUAAAAAGUUUCAACCUAAAAAAAAAAAUUCAACCUAUUUAUUUCUUGAUUUUAUUUUAUAUCAAAUACACUUUAAGUAGUUCACACAAGAAUUAUUCAAUUUAUAUUAAUUCCCCACCUUUUUUAAGCUAAUGAGACAGACCUCUGAAAACCACAUUUUAAUUCCAGUUCCAUAACAGACACUGAAACCGUGAAAAUCCAGCAGUGAAGAGUAAAUGCAAGAAAGAUGGAAAAAAGAAAUAUACCUAGAAAUCUGAAAUGAAGAAAUAUCCUACUUGAUAAAAAAAAUAUUACUGAAUAGGAAGGUAUUACCAAAAGAAAGUACAUUCUGAAGAUAUUUUAAAGUGUGGUGACAGGAUAUAAAACAGCCAUGUCUCGACAGCAGUAUUCUCUACCCUUUUUACAUAUAUACCAGGGCACCCACCAAUUAUGAUAAAUGAAGAAGUCUGCCUUUGCUGCUGUUUGCUAAACAUUAUUCAUGUAUGCAGGAAAAAUGAUCCUUCAAAUGAUACUCACAGAGGAAAGGAGGCCAACUUCAAACCAUGAAUUAUGAAGCUGGCUUAUUUUGUGCAAACCAUGCUGAAGACUAACCACAGUUUAGGGCUUGGAAGUAAAGCCUAAACAAUCUCAAAGCAUCUGAUUUCCUCCUGACAAGUGGGGGUAAGGGGAGCAAAAGAGCUCGAAGCUUGUUGCAACUUGCUCACAUCAUGAUUCAAGAUGGUUUAUUGUGAUGUCAAAACUAUACUUAUAUAUGCUGCCACACAACUACUUAGGUACACUAACUGCCUCUUAAAGCAAGCCAGAACUCAAAAUAGGACCUUUUAAGCAAGCUUUUACACAAAGGUGGAAGCUGAAAUGCAACAGUACAAUCACGUUAAGUUGCAAUUCUUGCCAAACAAGAAUUCAGGUCUACCUUAGCACUAUAUACAUUUCAGCCACAUGUUUAAUGUUUCUGCACGAAAACAUUCUGGCAUGGCAAUUGCGGACCAUCCAGGGAAGCCAGUGGUGUAAGCCAUAGGUCCUCAAACUACGGCCCAGGGGCCAGAUCCGGCCAGUCAUGCCCAUUUGGACUCGCCACACCCAUGCACAUGCCCACCACCACUGCCCACCUCACCCUGCACGUGGGGAGGCGGCAGUUUGCUCACUCGG